GAAAACAAUCCAGACCGCCAGCUAAGGCCCCAAAUUCCUAGUUAAGUGGGAAACGAUGUGGGAAGGCACAGACAGCUAGGAGGUUGGCUUAGAAGCAGCCACCCUUUAAAGAAAGCGUAAUAGCUCACUAGUCGAGUCGGCCUGCGCGGAAGAUGUAACGGGGCUCAAACCAUGCACCGAAGCUACGGGUAUCAUCUUUGGAUGAUGCGGUAGAGGAGCGUUCUGUAAGCCUGUGAAGGUGAGUUGAGAA
rnacentral:rRNA from 14 species